UACAGAGGGUGCAAGCGUUGUUCGGAUUCACUGGGCGUAAAGGGUGCGUAGGUGGUGAGGUAAGUCGGAUGUGAAAGCUCCAAGCUCAACUUGGAAAUGGCAUUGGAAACUACCUUGCUAGAGGGUUUGAGGGGGGACUGGAAUACUUGGUGUAGCAGUGAAAUGCGUAGAUAUCAAGUGGAACACCAGUGGCGAAGGCGAGUCCCUGGAAAACUCCUGACACUGAGGCACGAAAGCUAGGGGAGCAAACAGG
rnacentral:rRNA from 1 species